UACGUAGGGUGCGAGCGUUAAUCGGAAUUACUGGGCGUAAAGCGUGCGCAGGCGGUUAUUUAAGUCAGGUGUGAAAGCCCUGGGCUUAACCUAGGAAUUGCGCUUGAGACUGGAUAGCUUGGAGUGCGGCAGAGGGAGGUGGAAUUCCACGUGUAGCAGUGAAAUGCGUAGAGAUGUGGAGGAACACCGAUGGCGAAGGCAGCUCGCUGGGACGGUACUGACGCUGAGACGCGAAAGCGUGGGGAGCAAACAGG
rnacentral:rRNA from 1 species